rnacentral:rRNA from 1 species
AACGUACGCUGGCGGCACGCCUAACACAUGCAAGUCGAACGAAGUAGCAAUACUUAGUGGCAGACGGGUGAGUAACAUGUAGGUAUCUGCCCUUUGGCCUGGAAUAACACGAGGAAACUUGUGCUAAUACCGGAUAAGUCUUUACGGAGAAAGCUUUAUGCACCAUUGGAUGAGCCUGCACUUGAUUAGUUUGUUGGUGGGGUAAUGGCCUACCAAGACUGUGAUCAAUAGCUGAUUUGAGAGGAUGAUCAGCCACAUUGGGACUGAGACACGGCCCAAACUCCUACGGGAGGCAGCAGUGGGGAAUCUUGCACAAUGGAGGAAACUCUGAUGCAGCGAUGCCGCGUGAGUGAAGAAGGCCUUUGGGUUGUAAAGCUCUUUCGUCGGGGAAGAAAAUGACUGUACCCGAAUAAGAAGGUCCGGCUAACUUCGUGCCAGCAGCCGCGGUAAUACGAAGGGACCUAGCGUAGUUCGGAAUUACUGGGCUUAAAGAGUUCGUAGGUGGUUGAAAAAGUUAGUGGUGAAAUCCCAGAGCUUAACUCUGGAACUGCCAUCAAAACUUUUCAGCUAGAGUAUGAUAGAGGAAAGCAGAAUUUCUAGUGUAGAGGUGAAAUUCGUAGAUAUUAGAAAGAAUACCAAUUGCGAAGGCUAGCUUUCUGGAUCAUUACUGACAACUGACGAACGA